UGGGGAAUAUUGCGCAAUGGGCGAAAGCCUGACGCAGCGACGCCGCGUGAGCGAUGAAGGCCUUCGGGUUGUAAAGCUCUGUCAAAGGGGACGAAUAUUUUGUGGGAAUAAUACCCCGCAAAACUGACGGUACCCUUAGAGGAAGCACCGGCUAACUCCGUGCCAGCAGCCGCGGUAAUACGGAGGGUGCUAGCGUUGUUCGGAAUUACUGGGCGUAAAGCGCGCGUAGGCGGUCUGUGAAGUCUGGUGUGAAAGCCCUCGGCUCAACCGAGGAAGUGCGCUGGAAACCAGCAGACUAGAGUGCGGUAGGGGAUCGUGGAAUUCCUGGUGUAGCAGUGAAAUGCGUAGAUAUCAGGAGGAACACCGGUGGCGAAGGCGACGAUCUAAGCCGUAACUGACGCUCAAGUGCGAAAGCGUGGGUAGCAAACAGG
rnacentral:rRNA from 1 species